rnacentral:siRNA from 1 species
ACCCCAUGACCAAUUGAUGGAUA